GCACUGUGCAACAGCAGCUCUGCAGGCAGGAGCCACAAGAGGAGGGACACUUUCCCCUUGUACUUUCUGUGGAUUAGAAAGAAAAGUUAAAUGAUUUCCUCUUUUUCUAGGAGGAGGGAUUCAGAGUGUGGCUGGCACAGAGUUAUCAAAAAAUGCUACUAAUACAGAUCAUUCCUAAGAUUGUGCCAUUCUGCCACAUGUUCUAUACACCAUUUCCCAUCCCCCAGCUUGGACACAGCCUUUGAAAAAGGACAUUUCACCUCCAGUGUGCCCCGGGCACUAACA
rnacentral:lncRNA from 12 species